AGCAGUGAUUUUCUUUUCUUUCGAAAGGAUUUAUUGAUACUCAGACAUUAAAAUCAUGACAUUGUUAAAAAAUUUUUUUGCAUUGUCACUUUUUCCUUCAGUAAAGCAAUAUUGUCAAGUUAAACUAAAAGAAGAUAAGAAAAUGACAUUAAAAGUUUUUGUAUAUUAAAUGUUGUGCACGACCGGGGUCACUUCCUGCAUAGUUCAGAGUCGUCCCAUUCUUCCAAACAACGCUGGUGCUCAGGAGGGGCCCCCACCCUGACGCUCCUUCCCACCGGUCUUACAAGGAGAGCCAGGGCGCCUUUGUUGGAACCUCAGUUUGUGGACCGCCAGCUCCUUCCUCCAAAUGGGCUCAGAGGCAAUUCUUCUUUGUGGCUGUGUCCUAGGCGUGCCACCUGCAGCUGUUGUUGUCCUUCCUGCUGCCGCCAUCCAGAUCACAGCCACGGUCUUGGAGGGUCUGCCACUCGUGGUACCACUCCCGGUACUGGCUGACCAGUGCCUGGUCCUCCAGCAGGGAGCGGUUGAGUUUCCACAGACGCCUCCCGGUCAUCACACCUGAAGGAAGUGAAAGCGUGCAGGACAGAAGGAGGUGAUCGGAAAAGAAAGCCGGUGACAAUCUAGCAUCGGUUAGGGUGCAGUCCCCUAUGAAGAAGUAAUCAAUGCAAGAGGCUUAGAGCCAUCAUCACUGAGCCAGCUGUAGCCCACCUCUCCAUGAUGCAUGGUUCUAAAACAGUCCACUAGUUUAAAAUCCCAAUCUAUUCUCUGUAAUAAAAGCGAUGUCUUGUCUA